rnacentral:rRNA from 1 species
UAUACCGUGAAACUGCGAAUGGCUCAUUAAAUCAGUUAUCGUUUAUUUGAUAGUACCUUACUACUUGGAUAACCGUGGUAAUUCUAGAGCUAAUACAUGCUAAAAACCUCGACUUCGGAAGGGGUGUAUUUAUUAGAUAAAAAACCAAUGCCCUUCGGGGCUCACUGGUGAUUCAUAAUAACUUAACGAAUCGCAUGGCCUUGUGCCGGCGAUGGUUCAUUCAAAUUUCUGCCCUAUCAACUUUCGAUUGUUGGGUCUUGGCCAACAAUGGUUUCAACGGGUAACGGGGAAUUAGGGUUCUAUUCCGGAGAGGGAGCCUGAGAAACGGCUACCACAUCCAAGGAAGGCAGCAGGCGCGCAAAUUACCCAAUCCUGAUACAGGGAGGUAGUGACAAUAAAUACUGAUACAGGGCUCUUUUGGGUCUUGUAAUUGGAAUGAGUACAAUUUAAAUCCCUUAACGAGGAACAAUUGGAGGGCAAGUCUGGUGCCAGCAGCCGCGGUAAUUCCAGCUCCAAUAGCGUAUAUUAAAGUUGUUGCAGUUAAAAAGCUCGUAGUUGAACCUUGGGCCUGGCUGGCCGGUCCGCCUCACCGCGUGCACUGGUCCGGCCGGGCCUUUCCUUCUGGGGAGCCGCAUGCCCUUCACUGGGUGUGUCGGGGAACCAGGACUUUUACUUUGAAAAAAUUAGAGUGUUCAAAGCAGGCCUAUGCUCGAAUACAUUAGCAUGGAAUAAUAGAAUAGGACGUGUGGUUCUAUUUUGUUGGUUUCUAGGACCGCCGUAAUGAUUAAUAGGGACAGUUGGGGGCAUCAGUAUUUAAUUGUCAGAGGUGAAAUUCUUGGAUUUAUUAAAGACUAACUACUGCGAAAGCAUUUGCCAAAGAUGUUUUCAUUAAUCAGUGAACGAAAGUUAGGGGAUCGAAGACGAUCAGAUACCGUCGUAGUCUUAACCAUAAACUAUGCCGACUAGGGAUCGGGCGAUGUUAUCUUUUUGACUCGCUCGGCACCUUACGAGAAAUCAAAGUCUUUGGGUUCUGGGGG